UACGUAGGGGGCGAGCGUUGUCCGGAAUCAUUGGGCGUAAAGCGCGUGUAGGCGGCCCGGUAAGUCCACUGUGAAAGUCCAGGGCUCAACCCUGGGAUGCCGGUGGAUACUGUCGGGCUCGAGUCCGGAAGAGGCGAGUGGAAUUCCUGGUGUAGCGGUGAAAUGCGCAGAUAUCAGGAGGAACACCAAUGGCGAAGGCAGCUCGCUGGGACGUGACUGACGCUGAGACGCGAAAGCGUGGGGAGCAAACAGG
rnacentral:rRNA from 1 species